CUCCAAACCAGAGCCUCUCAAACCUCAAAGCUCCAGGAGCUUUUCCCAUGGCCAAGUUCUUGAGACACCUUCGUUCCCUGACCGAUUCCUCCACCAUCCGCCUCCACCAAAUUCCUCUCUCCCAAAGAUGUGCCACUCCCUUGGCUUCCUCCUCAGCCCCUCCUUGUCGUCAAUCAUCCAUCGAGUCGACAGGAAUCAAAGUUUCCCCUAAGUUACAAACUUCUCCACCGCCACCGUCGACCUCACAUGGCGCCCCAUGCUCCGACCUUUCUCGUCGCCAACCAACGCCUCAAAUGGGACCUAGAUGAGCUCUAAUCAUGAUGCUCACAUUUGUUUCCCCUGUUCCUUGAGUAUCCGCACUCGUUUUUGGCCAUGCCACCGGCCACAUGUCGUCGUCCGCAGAGCCCCUGUGCGCCGCCCCCGUUUCUCCCCACCUGUGCUGCUCCAAGGAGUCCCCUGGCCUUGGGCAAGGUGCUGCCGCCUCUCCCUACAGCAACGCUGCCUUCUCCACCCCUGUCGCUGGCCGGCCAAGCGCCAUUGUGUGCUUAUGCUGCGUUCUGUUGCGUGGCUGGAGGUAGAAGAAAGGUUGGACCUGAUUGCUUGGGAAAUAAAAGAUCUAGGGGGUUAUCCAUAAAGGGUUGGUUUUAUGUUUGAAGGUGGAUUCUUUCUAGGGGCUAGAGCAUAAAACGUAGGGGGUAGAUUGUUAAUAAAAGGGUAGAACCGUGAGAGAGAAGGUUUUUCUAGGGGGUAGCUUGGAAAGUAUUUUCGGGUUGGAUUUGUUCGCUAAAGUUAAAAUGUUGCAAACUUUGAAAAUGCAUAGAAACUAGUAGAAAAAUGCUAAAAAUGUGAUCUUAUUGUGUUGGAUUCCUUGCAAAGUGUAGUUUUUUUUAGAACUGAGUAUGUGCAUGUUUCUGCCAUGUAUUUUGUGCUAUAUUUUAUUUUAUGUGAAGGCCAUUAAAUGCAUUAUAAAACACCUAGUGCUCUAAAAAUGGUGAAAUCACUUUUGUUAGUUCACUUGCGACAUGCAUGUUCAAGAUAUGAAAGUUGUGCCACUGGAUUUGAUGGUGUUCAUAAUGUUUUAGGUUAAAACCCUUAUUGCCAUGUUCAUAUUGCUACAUGCAUGAUAAAUAGUAGAAAAGUUUUUAAAUGAUGAAACCAACUCUAUUAGCAUUUGUGUGCCACAUAGAAUCUAGGUGAAGUGAUGUUGAUACUUUCAUAGUUAAUUUACAAACCUUUUUAGAGUUUAGGUGUUCAAUGGUAGUUUAACUUGUUUAAUCUAUAACUCUACAUUAAAAAUUGAGUUUAAUGCAAAUCCAACUCUCAUAGUGUUAUAUUGUUGUCUUCUUCUAGUGAGUUUCAUAUCAUGGUCAUUUCUCAACAAAUGAUUAGAAUCAUGCAAUUGCGUGCUUGCUUUUGAUCUAUUGUGGAAAAUAGUGCCUCUCGUCAUGAUUGUAUGAUUUUGCAUGGUUGAUAGCUAGAUGACAUAGCUCUAAAACUUUGUAGCUUUGUAUGCUUGUCUUUCCACUUAAAGAAAUAUCUAACUAGCAUGUUAAAAUCUUUGUUCAUGACAGAAUGUGACAUUUGUGUUAUGCCCAUUUAAUCGUGCUAAAACAAUGGUGUAAAAGGGAAACUAUGAAAUCACUCGUCUUAGUCUACAUGCAUGUUUGAAAUCCUUAGUCAAAUAGUCGUCCCUCACAGUGGCAUGGAUUAGUCGUGUGGUGUCCCUAAACUUGUUUCUUUAUGUUAGCAAUAUGCUGUCAUAGAGACAGGGUUAGUAUUUUCCUACAAAACUCUUAGGCAUACUUAGCUUAAUAUGUGUGUAGCUAAUGGUGAACCCAAAUUCUGAUAAUGUUUUCAUGUAUGUCCUGUCAUUUAAAGAAAAUGCCAACCGUGUUAUCUCAGGAGUGGUCUUUAGUAUUUGGUUGUAUUCUUUUUCAACAUUGAGAUCUUUGUUGUUGUUCGUUCCUGAUUUCAUGCACCUCAUAUGCUCUCAAGUUUCAUGCAUUCAUGAGCAUUUUGCACUGAUACCAUCAUUUCUAAUACAUGCACACAUUUCAUUCUUUUAGAGAGCAAUUUGCCAGAGAACAUCACCUUUGAACCCACAGCUGAGGGUGGCAUAGAAAUCAAGUUUGAGCCCAAAGAAAACCAAGGCAAGCCACUAAGCAUGUUUGUUGCCUCCUACAUUUAAAAUGAAAUUGUUACUAUGGGUUGCAUCUGGGUGAUAAUAACUUAAUCUUGCAACUUGCUUAGUCAUGCUUAGUCAUAAAAUGAUCACUUAGUAAAAGAAACGGUCAUAGGUUAAUCAACACCUUUACUAAUAAGGUUCUUUAAGUUGUUUAAAAAUUCAGAAAUAGGAUAACUUUCCAAAUAAGUGUUAAGCAACCCUAAAGUGAACCCAACCUUCUUUUGUGAAGUUUAAAUGAUUUGAACUUAAGAUGUGUACACAAUCACCAUCAAAGUCAACUCCGAGUUUUAAAUCGCAACACACCUUACUUGAUAAGAAAAUAAAUGGUUAUAACCUUGUCUAAGUGAAUGUGGUCCAAAUGCACCCUAAGCUUUUACAACGUUAAUGAAAUGCAACCUACACAUAAAAGCAUGAAACUGAAAUCUUGCAUAUGCAUCUCGUGUAGAGCUAUCCGCGCUGAUGGAACGUACGAGCUCAGCCUAGAACGUGAAGCAGGAGGGUGUCUGCUGAGCUGAAUGUGAUCAAGGCAAAUCAAGGCUCGAUCCAAGUUCGAAAGAGCCCAAGACUGAGUUAGGACAAGAAGGCAAGCCCCGGAGCAUAACCCAGUUUUCUAAAUUUAUGCACUACUUAUGCUAGAUAUGUUUGUGCAUUUAAGUUCAUAGGAGUUUCUUGGAACCUUAGUUGCAUGAUCCUAGGUACCUAUGUUUUGAAUACUAGCAUGAUAGGUCGUGUAGUUGCUAUGCUAAAUAGGAACUGGGUAGAAGUCGAGUGAUUUUCUGUCACUCGCGAGUUAUAGGAGUUGCUUGUUUACUUAUGUUGAAACCAUAAGGAUGACAGAUGGAGCCGGGCAAUUGGUUCUGAAUUGGUGGAUUGCCCCGUCUGUCUAGAAGAAAGCUGCUAAGGUUGUAAUGUGUCGGCGUUCAUGGUCAAGUGUUUGAAAGUACUAAGCUCAUACCUAGUAUGGGAUAGGGAAGCCUAGUACCUAAUUGGUCCAGGAUGUGGGCAUACUCCCCAGUCUCCUUGGAACUUGGUUCCCUUGCUGCAGCAUGUGGGUACAAGUGCAGUCACGGUACGACGUCUUCCGGGACUGUGGGGCCUUGUAUCCAAGGGAAGUGGGCCCUAACCACGUGUCGGGGAUUGAUGGGGACGGCUGACAUGUGUGGACCUGGUGUGGUACGCAUAUAUCAUGGGUUUAGGUUCACCUUGCAAGGUUAGAAACUCGAUUCAAAUCAUCUACCUCUCACAGUUUGAGACUGUUUGAUCACUAUUCCGCAUUGAGUAAGAAGUGGAACAAAGGAUGAUGAUUAAUACUGAUUCUUGAUUAAGUUUGCUUGAUCAACAUGCUUGCUUAGAAUAGGUGCUUACCAAUACUAGAUAAUCAACUAGAACCUGAUGCUAAAACUUGAAAGUAACGACCUACUUUAGCUGCUUUUGGCAAAACAAACCCCUCAGCCAAAAAGCCUUGGAUGUCUAGGAGUCGGUGGAGUAGUUACCACCUGACGGGUAAGCUUUGUUAAGUAUUAGUAUACUCAGCCUUGCUUGUGGCUAUCUUUUUUUCAGGUGCUAUUGUUUGCUUGGUUGCUAGUGUGACUCGGCCAUCCCAACCCCCUCUAGGUUGGACUGUUGAGUGGGACCCAUCCUCAGCCAGCGAGGAUCGUUGUGUCUAAUAUCAUGGCAGGCUUCACCAUGGUAUUGUGUCUCGACGUUAGACUUACCAUUGUUUUUUCGCUACUUUUGAACUCUGAAAUCCACUUUAUGCUUUUGACAUCCUGAGUUGUAAUAAAUGAAGUUGGGAUCUGUAAUAAUUUAUCUGGAUUGUUGUAAUCUCUGAACUCGUCUUCGUGCGAGUAUGCUUUGUUUCGAUCUGAGACAAGUGGUUUUAC
rnacentral:lncRNA from 1 species